CUUGAGCAUGACCAGUCAGAUCUGAGUGUUGGAAGCCUGUGCAGAUUCACCUCAGUUCUGUCUUGAGUCUGGUGCCUCGCAAAAUUAGGUCGAUAAGAGCACGUGAGUCUCCAUGUUGAUAUUAAGGCUAAAGACCAUCCAGGUGGAUCCUUGUGCGAUGGACAUAUGGAUUUCCUGUUUUUUUCUGGGCUACAGAGAGAGGAUCCCCUCUUCAUUUUGAGCCUCUUCAGACGUCAUCCACACCUGUGGGAGAGCCCCAAGCCUUUCACUGGAACUCACAUCUUUAGAAGGCACCUUAUCCUUUCCAUCAGAUUUGUGUAUUUGAAAAAGUAGAAAGGGUGCAGCAUCAGCGUUCAGAAUAGCAGUCACCCCCACGAGAAGGUGGGGAAAAGAGAUGGGAAGUCCACCAGGCAAA